AAGAGAUGGGGUCUUACAAGGU
rnacentral:siRNA from 1 species